UACAGAGGUCUCAAGCGUUGUUCGGAUUCAUUGGGCGUAAAGGGUGCGUAGGUGGCGCUGUAAGUCGGGUGUGAAAUUUCGGAGCUUAACUCCGAAACUGCAUUCGAUACUGCGGUGCUUGAGGACUGGAGGGGAGACUGGAAUUCAUGGUGUAGCAGUGAAAUGCGUAGAGAUCAUGAGGAAGACCAGUGGCGAAGGCGGGUCUCUGGACAGUUCCUGACACUGAGGCACGAAGGCCAGGGGCGCAAACGGG
rnacentral:rRNA from 1 species